UCUUGAAGGAUGAAGAUGCUGGAAUAGGCAUCAAUCAAUUUUUGACACAGCAUCAAUCAAUUCUUGACACAGUUUUUUUCCUGAAUUGAUUUCUUUCUAACUCCCCUGCAUGAAUGUUGUGUACAAAUACAAUCUUAAGCCUUUUGGAAUGUAAAUGAGUUUCUUUCUUAGUGAAUUUCCUAACAAAACCUAAUAAAGAUAGAUUUUCAGUCUCA